rnacentral:rRNA from 1 species
UACGUAGGGUGCGAGCGUUGUCCGGAAUUAUUGGGCGUAAAGGGCUCGUAGGCGGUUUGUCGCGUCGGGAGUGAAAACUCAGGGCUUAACCCUGAGCCUGCUUCCGAUACGGGCAGACUAGAGGUAUGCAGGGGAGAACGGAAUUCCUGGUGUAGCGGUGAAAUGCGCAGAUAUCAGGAGGAACACCGGUGGCGAAGGCGGUUCUCUGGGCCGAAACUGACGCUGAGGAGCGAAAGCGUGGGGAGCAAACAGG